rnacentral:rRNA from 1 species
GAUGAACGCUGGCGGCGUGCCUAAUACAUGCAAGUCGAGCGAACUGAUUGGGAGCUUGCUUCUAUGACGUUAGCGGCGGACGGGUGAGUAACACGUGGGCAACCUGCCUGUAAAACUGGGAUAACUUCGGGAAACCGAAGCUAAUACCGGAUAGGAUCUUCUCCUUCAUGGGAGAUGAUUGAAAGAUGGUUUCGGCUAUCACUUACAGAUGGGCCCGCGGUGCAUUAGCUAGUUGGUGAGGUAACGGCUCAACAAGGCAACGAUGCAUAGCCGACCUGAGAUGGUGAGCGUCCACACUGGGACGGAGACGCGGGCCAGACUCCUACGGGAGGCAGCAGUAGGGAAUCUUCCGCAAUGGACGAAAGUCUGACGGAGCAACGCCGCGUGAGUGAUGAAGGCUUUCGGUUCGUACAACUCUGUUGUUAGGGAAGAACAAGUACGAGAGUAACUGCUCGUACCUUGACGGUACCUAACCAGAAAGCCACGGCUAACUACGUGCCAGCAGCCGCUGUAACAC